GUGCUCGCUUCGGCAGUACCUAUACUAAAAUUGGAAAGAUACAGAGAAGAUUAGCAUGGCCCCUGCACAAAAACGGCAUGCAAAUUUAUGAAGCAUUCCAUAUUUUC
ensembl:snRNA U6 U6 spliceosomal RNA